GAUGAACGCUGGCGGCGUGCCUAAUACAUGCAAGUCGAGCGAAUGGAUUAAGAGCUUGCUCUUAUGAAGUUAGCGGCGGACGGGUGAGUAACACGUGGGUAACCUGCCCAUAAGACUGGGAUAACUCCGGGAAACCGGGGCUAAUACCGGAUAACAUUUUGAACCGCAUGGUUCGAAAUUGACAGGCGGCUUCGGCUGUCACUUAUGGAUGGACCCGCGUCGCAUUAGCUAGUUGGGGAGGUAACGGCUCACCAAGGCAACGAUGCGUAGCCGACCUGAGAGGGUGAUCGGCCACACUGGGACUGAGACACGGCCCAGACUCCUACGGGAGGCAGCAGUAGGGAAUCUUCCGCAAUGGACGAAAGUCUGACGGAGCAACGCCGCGUGAGUGAUGAAGGCUUUCGGGUCGUAAAACUCUGUUGUUAGGGAAGAACAAGUGCUAGUUGAAUAAGCUGGCACCUUGACGGCACCUAACCAGAAAGCCACGGCUAACUACGUGCCAGCCGCCGCAGUAA
rnacentral:rRNA from 1 species